rnacentral:rRNA from 1 species
GAUGAACGCUGGCGGCGUGCCUAAUACAUGCAAGUCGAGCGAACGGACGAGAAGCUUGCUUCUCUGAUGUUAGCGGCGGACGGGUGAGUAACACGUGGAUAACCUACCUAUAAGACUGGGAUAACUUCGGGAAACCGGAGCUAAUACCGGAUAAUAUUUUGAACCGCAUGGUUCAAAAGUGAAAGACGGUCUUGCUGUCACUUAUAGAUGGAUCCGCGCUGCAUUAGCUAGUUGGUAAGGUAACGGCUUACCAAGGCAACGAUGCAUAGCCGACCUGAGAGGGUGAUCGGCCACCCUGGAACUGAGACACGGUCCAGACUCCUACGGGAGGCAGCAGUAGGGAAUCUUCCGCAAUGGGCGAAAGCCUGACGGAGCAACGCCGCGUGAGUGAUGAAGGUCUUCGGAUCGUAAAACUCUGUUAUUAGGGAAGAACAUAUGUGUAAGUAACUGUGCACAUCUUGACGGUACCUAAUCAGAAAGCCACGGCUAACUCCGUG